UAGGGAAUAUUGGUCAAUGGAGGCAACUCUGAACCAGCCAUGCCGCGUGUAGGAAGAAGGCGUUCUGCGUUGUAAACUACUUUUGAUUGGGAACAAAUGACUCUUGCGAGAGUAGCUGAGUGUACCAAUAGAAUAAGCCACGGCUAACUACGUGCCAGCAGCCGCGGUAAUACGUAGGUGGCAAGCGUUGUCCGGAUUUAUUGGGUUUAAAGGGUGCGUAGGCGGCUUAAUAAGUCAGUGGUGAAAGCCGAUCGCUUAACGAUCGAACUGCCAUUGAUACUGCAAGGCUUGAGUAUAGAUGAGGUAGGCGGAAUUGACAGUGUAGCGGUGAAAUGCAUAGAUAUUGUCAAGAACACCAAUUGCGAAGGCAGCUUACUAAGUUAUAACUGACGCUGAGGCACGAAAGUGCGGGGAUCAAACAGGAUUAGAUACCCGUGUAGUCC
rnacentral:rRNA from 1 species